AACAGGUCAUGGGGUGCAUAUAUAAUGCGCGCAUUUCUCCCAAGGCUUUGGAAAAGUUUUACGAACAGACGCAGUCAAGCAAUACCGAGCAACGCCCGACAUCGACUUCCCCGGAAUUGAAAGCUUAAGGAUCCAUCAUGAAUGCUAUCGCCGCAGCCGUUUUCUGUGCGAUGUCGGUGUGUGCCAUCGCCAUAGCUGUGCGCCAAGCACAUCUCGCAGUCGGCAUGGGCGGAGGAUCUCACGGAUGCAAUUGCCCCACGCUGAACGUGUUGGCUGCAAGGCAAUGUUGCGUCACGGUGGGGACCUGCUGUCUCGCGGCAGGAAUGAGCGUUGGAGAUAACGGUGGACAUCUUGGCGACGCCGCACACGGAUACCCUGUUGCCCCCUACACUCCUAUCGGAUUGCGCACGCGCAGGCCUGUCCUCGCUCGUCCCCCGUUGGUUCAGGGUGGCCUGCAGCUCAACAUUGGAAAUGGAAUGGAAUGAUUCGAAGCGACACUUGGUCGAAUAAACGCAGUCGUUUAUCGGCGAACAAGGCUGACACU